rnacentral:rRNA from 1 species
CCAGACUCCUACGGGAGGCAGCAGUGAGGAAUAUUGGUCAAUGGCCGAGAGGCUGAACCAGCCAAGUCGCGUGAGGGAAGACGGCCCUACGGGUUGUAAACCUCUUUUGUCGGGGAGCAAAGCGAGUCACGUGUGACUCAUUGAGAGUACCCGAAGAAAAAGCAUCGGCUAACUCCGUGCCAGCAGCCGCGGUAAUACGGAGGAUGCGAGCGUUAUCCGGAUUUAUUGGGUUUAAAGGGUGCGCAGGCGGAGGUGCAAGUCAGCGGUCAAAUUGCGGGGCUCAACCCCGGGGCUGCGAUUGAAACUGCACACCUUGAGUAUCGGAGAGGAAAGCGGAAUUCCUAGUGUAGCGGUGAAAUGCGUAGAUAUUAGGAGGAACACCAGUGGCGAAGGCGGCUUUCUGGACGACAACUGACGCUGAGGCGCGAAAGUGUGGGGAGCAAACAGGAUUAGAUACCCGAGUA